GAUGAACGCUGGCUGCGUGCCUAAUACAUGCAAGUCGAGCGAACAGACGAGGAGCUUGCUCCUCUGACGUUAGCGGCGGACGGGUGAGUAACACGUGGAUAACCUACCUAUAAGACUGGGAUAACUUCGGGAAACCGGAGCUAAUACCGGAUAAUAUAUUGAACCGCAUGGUUCAAUAGUGAAAGACGGUUUUGCUGUCACUUAUAGAUGGAUCCGCGCCGCAUUAGCUAGUUGGUAAGGUAACGGCUUACCAAGGCAACGAUGCGUAGCCGACCUGAGAGGGUGAUCGGCCACACUGGAACUGAGACACGGUCCAGACUCCUACGGGAGGCAGCAGUAGGGAAUCUUCCGCAAUGGGCGAAAGCUUGACGGAGCAACGCCGCGUGAGUGAUGAAGGUCUUCGGAUCGUAAAACUCUGUUAUUAGGGAAGAACAAAUGUGUAAGUAACUAUGCACGUCUUGACGGUACCUAAUCAGAAAGCCACGGCUAACUACGUG
rnacentral:rRNA from 1 species